AUAAAUAGCCAAUUGUUUAAUGGUGCAUGAAACAAAUUAACUACAAUGUGAUAGUAAAAAGCAUGUCAGUUUGUUGUAUCCCUCAAAUUCAAUGGCUUUUCAUAUAACUAAAGUUUAUAAUGGCCAAUUAGUAAUUUAACCAUCUACUUGAAUAUGGCAUUCUGCUUGCAAGGAUAUUCAAAAAUCGCUUGAAUAUCAACAAUCACAUUAAGCCUCUACGUCUUAACCCAUACAUCAAGAUAAUACAGGA
rnacentral:misc_RNA from 1 species